AAGUCGUAACAAGGUCAUCCAGGUUGGUCGAACCUGAGACCGGAGGGAGUCAUUACUGAGUCGUAAAAAACUCCCAAACCCAUGUGAACUUACCUAUGUUGCCUCGGCAGGACCUACCCGGGACCUACCCUGUAGCUACCUUGUAGCCUGCCGGUGGACAUCUAAACUCUUGUUUUUUUAUAGAAAUCUGAACGUCUCAUUAAAUAAGUCAAAA
rnacentral:misc_RNA from 1 species